AGUGAACGCUGGCGGUAGGCCUAACACAUGCAAGUCGAACGGCAGCACAGUAAGAGCUUGCUCUUACGGGUGGCGAGUGGCGGACGGGUGAGAAAUACAUCGGAAUCUACUUUUUCGUGGGGGAUAACGUAGGGAAACUUACGCUAAUACCGCAUACGACCUACGGGUGAAAGCAGGGGAUCUUCGGACCUUGCGCGAUUGAAUGAGCCGAUGUCGGAUUAGCUAGUUGGCGGGGUAAAGGCCCACCAAGGCGACGAUCCGUAGCUGGUCUGAGAGGAUGAUCAGCCACACUGGAACUGAGGCACGGUCCAGACUCCUACGGGAGGCAGCAGUGGGGAAUAUUGGACAAUGGGCGCAAGCCUGAUCCAGCCAUACCGCGUGGGUGAAGAAGGCCUUCGGGUUGUAAAGCCCUUUUGUUGGGAAAGAAAAGCAGCAGGUUAAUACCCCGCUGUUCUGACGGUACCCAAAGAAUAAGCACCGGCUAACUUCGUG
rnacentral:rRNA from 1 species